AAUUCCAACAGGAAAGCGCCUGAAAGCCACUGACUCCGCGUAGCCGGCGGAGGACCACUGUGACGAACUUGUGUCCUGCGUCAACAGUGUGUGGAACGUUGGCGACCUCGGCGCUCGAGCUGCACUCCGCUGGGCUCUUGGCAGCACCCUGUGCUCUGAGGGUGUCUUGCCCGCCGGGCGCCGUGGCUCACGCCUGUAAUCCCAACACUUUGGGAGGCUGAGGCGGGCGGAUCACUUGAGGUCAAGAGUUCAAGACCAGCCUGGCCAACAUGAUUCUACUCUAAAAGUCACCAGGAAAAAUUCAGCUCCACUGGUCCUGGCUCUAAGUCUACUAGCAAAAUCUUCCAGAGAAGUGGAAAAGCCAUCAGCCAAUGUGUUAGACUAUCAUUUCCAUGACCUUACACCUAUCAAAAAGGCACUAUUACCAGGCUUAUAGAAUUCUAAAAAAGUUGGAAACCAUUUUCCAUUAUAAAAGAAAUUCUUCCAAAUCACACAAAACACUCUGACACUUCUCCAAUUCCCCCUAUCAUGGGGCUGGCAGCAGCCGCUUUGCGUCCUGAAUGUCAUGACAGUGAUGAUAACAGUAAUGAUGAUAACAGCAAUGAUGAAGUCUCACAUUUAAAAUUUUCAAGUCACUCAUCACAUCCCAAGUCACUCCCUUCAUUACCUUUUAUUUAUACUGGAGUCAUCCUGUGUGCCUCAGUCAGACCAUUUUGUAUGUACAAUGACCGUAAGUAGAUCAACCAAACUUUUUGGAUGAUGUCAACUAUUUAAGGCUUUUUAAAAAUAUAAGGUACUUGAGAAUUCAUUUUUUCCCCAGCUGGUGUAAGAGAUAAACAAUUUGAACUUGUCAGAACAUCAUAUCAUUUGAAUAGGAGGCUUAAAUUUUUAAAGGCCAGAAAAAUGCUAAUGAGAUUAGACAUGAUCUAUUUUUUUCUAGACACUGGCACCUUUUGCACUUCAAUUAGAUAUCCAGACACGCCCAUAACUUAGCAGUCAUAGGUAAUGUUGUCGGAAAAAGAGUAUGAGGUGGGUUGGUUGUACAAGAAGAACAGGUUAGAAUUUGCUUUCUUCUGAGCUUAAGUACUAAAGUAAAAAGCAGGUAGAUUCAUCAUCAGGAAGAAUGUAGGCAGCUAAUCUGAGAAGUAAAAGACUAUAAAAAUAAGAGAAACAAAUGAAAAUUUAGCUUUAACUGAGAGCUGAUGAACUUAGGAGACUCAACAUUGCUUUGCUAAAUAGUGAUAUUAAAAUAUUGCUAGACAAAUUUUUCUUAAGUGUAGGAUUUAAUUUGGAACUGAGUAGGAGCAAUACUACAAUAUGACAUCAUCAGUAUUUGCCCUAAUCCCUACCACAAAAAGAUGACUGUAAAGGAAGAACUCUUAAAAAACUGCUUGGCCCUGCAGUAAUGCUUCCCUUUCAAAUCGGUAACUUCCUCCACCAUGCAUUACUUGGAAGAUGCAGUAAUUUUAAUUACUGAAAGGACCAUCUCAAAUCAUCUUUAGUCACAACAAACUGUAAACAUUUAUAGAGCAAUAUAUUUGUAAAAUGUAUUUUAUAUUGGGGAAGUAUGAUACAAUACAGAAAUCAUUGAAAGCAAGAUACCAUGACCAAGCAAUUAACCAUCAAUUAUUCAAUUUUAAUUUAAUAUAUAAUAGAUCUGAGGCACUGCCUAUAAAGUGGAAGAUAUAAU
rnacentral:lncRNA from 1 species